UGUGGGGCAAUGCUACAUGGAUGAUUG
rnacentral:piRNA from 1 species